CGGUGAAAUUCCAAUCGAGCCCGGAGAUAGCUGGUUCUCCCCGAAAUAGCUUUAGGGCUAGCCUCAAGGUGAGAGAUACGGAGGUAGAGCCCUGAAUGUCCUAGGGGGUAUUGCACCUACCGAAGACUAUCAAACUCCGAAUGCCGUCAUCUUAUACUUGGGAGUCAGACUGUGGGUGAUAAGAUUCAUAGUCGAAAGGGCAACAGCCCAGAUCG
rnacentral:rRNA from 1 species